rnacentral:lncRNA from 1 species
CUGGGCUCAAGCAAUCUUCUCAUCUCAUUCUCCUGUGUAGCUGGGACCAUAGGUGUGUGCUACCACAUCUGGCUAAUUUUUAAUUUUUAUUUUGUAGAGAUGGAGGUCUUGCUACGUUGCCCAGGCUGGUAUCCAACUCCUGGCCUCAAGAAAUUCUCCUGUCUCGGCCUCCUUAAGUGCUGGGAUUACAGGUGUAAGCCACCACACCCGGCCCUCAACCUUUAUGUAUACAGUUGUUGCUCAAUAUGUGCAGGAUACUAUUUCUAGGAUGCUGUGAGGAUACCAAAAUCUCAGACGCUCAAGUUCCUGAUAUAAAAUGCAUAUAACCUAUGUACAUUGUCUUGUAUACAUUUAUUUAUUUAUUUUUGAGACGAAGUUUUGCUCUUGUCGCCCAGGCUGGAGUGCAAUGGUGUGAUGUUGGCUCACAGCAACCUCUGCCUCCCGGGUUCAAGUGAUUCUCCUGCCUCAGCCUCCCGAGUAGCUGGGAUUAUAGGCAUGCACCACCACACCCAGCUAAUUUUUUGUAUUUUUAGUAGAGAUGGGGUUUCACCAUGUUGGCCAGACUGGUCUUGAACUCUUGACCUCAGUUGAUCUGCCUGCCUCGGCCUCCCAAAGUGUUGGGAUUACAGGUGUGAGCCACUGCGCCUGGUCCCGUCUCGUAUACUUUAGAUCAUCUCUAGGUUAAUUAUAAUGCCUAGUACAAUGUAAAUGAUAUGUAAAUAGUCAUUAUACUGUACUAUUUGUAUUGUUAUAUUGUUAUUUUUCUCUAAAUAUUUUUGAUCCAUAGUUGGUUGAAUCCACGGAUGUUUGGAUCCAGCCCCUGGAUACGGAGGGCUGACUUUAAUCUUCCCCCAUCCUUAAGUAUCCUGUGAAGUUAUAAAUGAUGUGUGCCAUGUCUUACACCAGCAACUGUGCCCCCUUGGCCUGGGCACAUGUGGCAACUGUCCAUGCAUCAUGUUGUUUAGGUGAGCUUGCUGUUUCUGUCCCUACUGCUGUUGGCCCAACUAGGAAAUAUGAACUAGGUAAAUAAUUUUCAAAAAUCCAGACAUUAACUUAUUUGCCUCUGUAGGAGUCUUUUUUCCAGAGCUGAUGAUAACAAGACAGUUUCCUCUGCAGCUUCUUUCACCUGGCAUCUAUUUCACAGAGGAGGGAGGUAAGUUUUAUUUUCAAUGGCACUAAAGAUUGUUUUCCUGGAUUGUUUUCACAAACUGCACAUGAACAGUUUCAAAAGUAUUUCCUGAAUUAGGUGAUGUCUGCAGGCAGCCAUGAAUCAUGCUGAAAACAGUAUCGUUCAAAACUUUGCCAGGAAGUCUCUGGCAGAAGUGUGUUAGCGAGUCUUAGCAAACACAGCUGCUUCCUUUCUGUUCCAAUCAAUCAGCCCAGCCUAAUUACCACAGUACAAGGGUGGUAAGUCCUAGAUAUGCUUGCUGAUAACUGCCAGCUUUUAGCAUGUGCAGGUUAAAGUGCCUCUUGCUAACUACGAUAGCAGAUUAAACUCUUCCUAAUAAACGUUGUUCUAGAGCUUCCUGAAACUGGACACAGAAACAGGUCUUAGGGUCCACCAGGGACAGUUCCCAUGAUUGCUGGCAUACAACACUACAGCAGUGGCCAAAAGUAGUGUCAUAAAUCAGUAACAAAUCCAACUCUUUGAUAUUAUCAUCUUACUGCUACAGAUUACUUGGAAAAUACGCCAAAGAUAGAGAAAAAGUAACUGAUAACGAUCACAUUUCAAACCAUAGCAAUCACCAACCUGAAUUUCCACAUUCCCCAAGUGUUUUUGUGUCAAAGUGGCACCAAUCUAAAACUCACACAGAUACUUACCAUCACCUUCUAUAACACGAUUGCAGUGGAAGCAAACAUCACCAAAUAGCUGAAAAUAAAAAAAGGUGGUCAAAGUUCAAGAUGUGUUAGAAUUUUUAGAACACUGAACAUUUAAAAAUAGCUGGCUAUCUAAAUUGAGGAUUUAUCACUACUAGAGAAAAUUAGUAAAAGUUCUUUGACAAGUUUUUACUUCUUACAAUGAAAGUAAUUCACUCUCAUCAAUUAAAAGAAAAACUUCCCGGAUGACAGUUUGAACACCCAAAUAAGUGAUGCAAAAUAUAGAAAUCUGUGAGUCCAUAUGGAUAAGAAAUAGAUAAAUGAAUAAACCUAUAGACGGGAGAGGAGGUGGGUUCUUGCUCAGGCAGAGCGCUGAGGACCAGACUAUGGGUGGAGGGCAUGGGGCUGGAGAAGUAUUGUUUGCAGCUGGCGCAGAGACAAGAAUCAUCAAGGGGUGCUGAAUCUAGGGCGGGUUGAUGAGGAACAGGACAUUUCCAUGGUCAUAGAAUGAUUGCCCACAGAUUGCUUCUUUCUUACAGAGGAGGGAAGGAAAUUGUAAUUCACAGUGAUGUUAUCAGCCAGCACCAUGCCUGGGAGAUCACCAGUGCAGGAGAGGUAUAAAAUGCUCCAGGGGCAAGGUUCUGAGAAGAUGCCCUGCCACUGUAUGAGGCCACAACCUGCUGUGUAUAACCUCAUCUAAGCACAGAGAAGCACCAGACUGAGCGUGGGAAAUGAUAAAGCAAACUGUGGACUUGAAUGAAAGACAUACAGGUAUUCUUUGUAUUUUUAUAGUUAGCUUCUGAGUCUGAAAUUAUUUCCCAAAUAAAAAGUUAAAAACAAAUCUCUACUGAACAAUGUACAUCUUCCAAGAGAUUUCCUUGUAGCUAAACUACUGAUAAGCUUAGGUUCAUAAAAGUCUAUCUAGCAUCCAGUGACUAAGGUCAAUACCUGGUUAUAGUGAGUUUCACAAUACGCCAGGCCUUUCCUCUCAUAAUGGCGAUGUCCAAGAAAGGGUUUCUCACACUUGGCACAAACAAAAUGCUGAAAAAAAAUUGCUAUAGGUCAUUUUUGAAUUGCCAUAUUUUAUAUC